GGCCCUGUAGCUUAGCCUGGUAGAGCGCUGCUCUUAUAAAGCAGAGGUCCCGAGUUCAAACAGCGUCGCUACCCUGGGAAGCAGUCAAGUGCCAUUUGAUAAUGGCACGAAAUAUCCAAGAGAGUAACGACGCCUGACAGUCUCGGCAGGGCCA
rnacentral:tRNA from 1 species